AGGACGAACGCUGGCGGCGUGCUUAACACAUGCAAGUCGAGCGGAAAGGCCUUUCGGGGUACUCGAGCGGCGAACGGGUGAGUAACACGUGAGUAAUCUGCCCAUCGCUUCAGGAUAGCCAUCGGAAACGGUGAUUAAUACUGGAUAUGACAUUCCUUCGCAUGUUGGGGUGUGGAAAGUUUUUUCGGCGGUGGAUGUGCUCGCGGCCUAUCAGCUUGUUGGUGGGGUAAUGGCCUACCAAGGCUUUGACGGGUAGCCGGCCUGAGAGGGUGACCGGCCACACUGGGACUGAGACACGGCCCAGACUCCUACGGGAGGCAGCAGUGGGGAAUAUUGGACAAUGGGCGCAAAGCCUGAUCCAGCAAUGCCGCGUGAGUG
rnacentral:rRNA from 1 species